rnacentral:rRNA from 1 species
AACGAACGCUGGCGGCAUGCCUAAUACAUGCAAGUCGAACGAUCCUUUCGGGGAUAGUGGCGCACGGGUGCGUAACGCGUGGGAAUCUGCCCUUGGGUUCGGAAUAACUUCGGGAAACUGAAGCUAAUACCGGAUGAUGACGAAAGUCCAAAGGUUUAUCGCCCAGGGAUGAGCCCGCGUAAGAUUAGGUAGUUGGUGAGGUAAAGGCUCACCAAGCCGACGAUCUUUAGCUGGUCUGAGAGGAUGAUCAGCCACACUGGGACUGAGACACGGCCCAG